UGUUUCGGCAAGGGGGUCAUCCCGACUUACCAACCCGAUGCAAACUGCGAAUACCGGAGAAUGUUAUCACGGGAGACACACGGCGGGUGCUAACGUCCGUCGUGAAGAGGGAAACAACCCAGACCGCCAGCUAAGGUCCCAAAGUCAUGGUUAAGUGGGAAACGAUGUGGGAAGGCCCAGACAGCCAGGAUGUUGGCUUAGAAGCAGCCAUCAUUUAAAGAAAGCGUAAUAGCUCACUGGUCGAGUCGGCCUGCGCGGAAGAUGUAACGGGGCUAAACCAUGCACCGAAGCUGCGGCAGCGACGCUUAUGCGUUGUUGGGUAGGGGAGCGUUCUGUAAGCCUGUGAAGGUGUGCUGUGAGGCAUGCUGGAGGUAUCAGAAGUGCGAAUGCUGACAUAAGUAACGAUAAAGCGGGUGAAAAGCCCGCUCGCCGGAAGACCAAGGGUUCCUGUCCAACGUUAAUCGGGGCAGGGUGAGUCGACCCCUAAGGCGAGGCCGAAAGGCGUAGUCGAUGGGAAACAGGUUAAUAUUCCUGUACUUGGUGUUACUGCGAAGGGGGGACGGAGAAGGCUAUGUUGGCCGGGCGACGGUUGUCCCGGUUUAAGCGUGUAGGCUGGUUUUCCAGGCAAAUCCGGAAAAUCAAGGCUGAGGCGUGAUGACGAGGCACUACGGUGCUGAAGCAACAAAUGCCCUGCUUCCAGGAAAAGCCUCUAAGCAUCAGGUAACAUCAAAUCGUACCCCAAACCGACACAGGUGGUCAGGUAGAGAAUACCAAGGCGCUUGAGAGAACUCGGGUGAAGGAACUAGGCAAAAUGGUGCCGUAACUUCGGGAGAAGGCACGCUGAUAUGUAGGUGAAGUCCCUCGCGGAUGGAGCUGAAAUCAGUCGAAGAUACCAGCUGGCUGCAACUGUUUAUUAAAAACACAGCACUGUGCAAACACGAAAGUGGACGUAUACGGUGUGACGCCUGCCCGGUGCCGGAAGGUUAAUUGAUGGGGUCAGCGCAAGCGAAGCUCUUGAUCGAAGCCCCGGUAAACGGCGGCCGUAACUAUAACGGUCCUAAGGUAGCGAAAUUCCUUGUCGGGUAAGUUCCGACCUGCACGAAUGGCGUAAUGAUGGCCAGGCUGUCUCCACCCGAGACUCAGUGAAAUUGAACUCGCUGUGAAGAUGCAGUGUACCCGCGGCAAGACGGAAAGACCCCGUGAACCUUUACUAUAGCUUGACACUGAACAUUGAGCCUUGAUGUGUAGGAUAGGUGGGAGGCUUAGAAGUGUGGACGCCAGUCUGCAUGGAGCCGACCUUGAAAUACCACCCUUUAAUGUUUGAUGUUCUAACGUUGACCCGUAAUCCGGGUUGCGGACAGUGUCUGGUGGGUAGUUUGACUGGGGCGGUCUCCUCCUAAAGAGUAACGGAGGAGCACGAAGGUUGGCUAAUCCUGGUCGGACAUCAGGAGGUUAGUGCAAUGGCAUAAGCCAGCUUGACUGCGAGCGUGACGGCGCGAGCAGGUGCGAAAGCAGGUCAUAGUGAUCCGGUGGUUCUGAAUGGAAGGGCCAUCGCUCAACGGAUAAAAGGUACUCCGGGGAUAACAGGCUGAUACCGCCCAAGAGUUCAUAUCGACGGCGGUGUUUGGCACCUCGAUGUCGGCUCAUCACAUCCUGGGGCUGAAGUAGGUCCCAAGGGUAUGGCUGUUCGCCAUUUAAAGUGGUACGCGAGCUGGGUUUAGAACGUCGUGAGACAGUUCGGUCCCUAUCUGCCGUGGGCGCUGGAGAACUGAGGGGGGCUGCUCCUAGUACGAGAGGACCGGAGUGGACGCAUCACUGGUGUUCGGGUUGUCAUGCCAAUGGCACUGCCCGGUAGCUAAAUGCGGAAGAGAUAAGUGCUGAAAGCAUCUAAGCACGAAACUUGCCCCGAGAUGAGUUCUCCCUGACUCCUUGAGAGUCCUGAAGGAACGUUGAAGACGACGACGUUGAU
rnacentral:rRNA from 1 species